rnacentral:rRNA from 1 species
AAUCAACGCUGGCGGCGUGCCUCAGACAUGCAAGACGAACGCGAAAGUCCCCUUCGGGGGACAAGUAGAGUGGCGCACGGGUGAGUAACACGUAGGUAAUCUACCUUCGGGUGGGGAAUAACAACCGGAAACGGUUGCUAAUACCGCAUAAUGCAGCGGCACCUAAUGGUGACAGUUGUUAAAGCGGGGGAUCGCAAGACCUCGCGCCUGAAGAGGAGCCUGCGGCGGAUUAGCUAGUUGGCAGGGUAACGGCCUACCAAGGCAACGAUCCGUAGCCGGCCUGAGAGGGCGGUCGGCCACACUGACACUGACAUACGGGUCAGACUCCUACGGGAGGCAGCAGUCGGGAAUUUUGGGCAAUGGGCGAAAGCCUGACCCAGCAACGCCGCGUGAAGGAUGAAAUCCCUCGGGAUGUAAACUUCGCAAGAACGGGGAGAAUAAGCCGGUGUGAAUACCACCGGCGAUGACGGUACCGUUUGUAAGCUCCGGCUAACUCCGUGCCAGCAGCCGCGGUAAUACGGGGGG